rnacentral:rRNA from 1 species
GACGAACGCUGGCGGCGUGCUUAACACAUGCAAGUCGAACGGAAAGGCCCUGCUUUUGUGGGGUGCUCGAGUGGCGAACGGGUGAGUAACACGUGAGUAACCUGCCCUUGACUUUGGGAUAACUUCAGGAAACUGGGGCUAAUACCGGAUAGGAGCUCCUGCUGCAUGGUGGGGGUUGGAAAGUUUCGGCGGUUGGGGAUGGACUCGCGGCUUAUCAGCUUGUUGGUGGGGUAGUGGCUUACCAAGGCUUUGACGGGUAGCCGGCCUGAGAGGGUGACCGGCCACAUUGGGCCUGAGAUACUGCCCAGACUCCUACGGGAGGCAGCAGUGGGGAAUAUUGCACAAUGGGCGGAAGCCUGAUGCAGCAACGCCGCGUGCGGGAUGACGGCCUUCGGGUUGUAAACCGCUUUCGCCUGUGACGAAGCGUGAGUGACGGUAAUGGGUAAAGAAGCACCGGCUAACUACGUG